rnacentral:rRNA from 1 species
UAUGUGAUCGUCUCUCGCAUAUCAAUAAGCGGAGGAAAAGAAACUAACAAGGAUUCCCCUAGUAACGGCGAGUGAAGCGGGAAGAGCUCAAAUUUGAAAUCUUAAAGGGUUUCCCUUUACGAAUUGUAGUUUAAAGAAGUGUUUUCUGUUGAGGUUUUGGUAAAAGUUCUUUGGAAUAGGACAUCAUAGAGGGUGAGAAUCCCGUAUUUGACCUUUACUUUCAACUUUGUGAUACACCUUCAAAGAGUCGGAUUGUUUGGGAAUGCAGUCCAAAAUGGGUGGUAAAUUUCAUCUAAAGCUAAAUAUUGGCGAGAGACCGAUAGCGAACAAGUACCGUGAGGGAAAGAUGAAAAGAACUUUGAAAAGAGAGUUAAACAGUACGUGAAAUUGUCAAAAGGGAAGCGUUUGACACCAGUGUUGUUUUUCUGAAAAUCAAUUAAAGAACUGUUUAUGCUAAGUUGUUUAGACUUUAUCAGCUAUCUGCUUAGUUUUGAGCUUUUCUUUAAUGCACUUUUCAGUUAACAAGUCAACAUCAAUUUCUUUUGCUGUAAAAAAGCUUGAGGAAGGUGGCUUGAGAUUCGUCUUAAGUGUUUAUAGCCUCUUGCCUAUGCAGUCGGAGAGAUUGAGGUCUGCAGCGUAGAUCCUUCGGGGCUAAAUGCAUUUGUGCUAAGUUAUAGCAUUUUAUAGACAACUUGUUGACUAUGAUUUGUCUUGUAGCUUACUCGCUUAUGUUAUUUUACCUACGCUUAGGAUGUUGACGAGACUGUCGAUCUC